rnacentral:tRNA from 1 species
UGUGGCUCAGUGGUAGAGCGCUCACCUAGCACAUGUGAGGCCCUGGGUUCAAUCCCCAGCA